GUGCCAGCCGCCGCGGUAAUACGUAGGGGGCGAGCGUUAUCCGGAAUUAUUGGGCGUAAAGAGUACGUAGGCGGGAAAUUAAGCGCAGGGUUUAAGGCAAAGGCUUAACCAUUGUUCGCCCUGUGAACUGAUUUUCUUGAGUGCAGGAGGGGAAAGCGGAAUUCCUAGUGUAGCGGUGAAAUGCGUAGAUAUUAGGAGGAACACCAGUGGCGAAGGCGGCUUUCUGGACUGUAACUGACGCUGAGGUACGAAAGUGUGGGGAGCAAACAGGAUUAGAUACCCUGGUAGUCCACACCGUAAACGAUGAGCACUAGGUGUCGGGUCCGCAAGGAUUCGGUGCCGCAGUUAACGCAUUAAGUGCUCCGCCUGGGGAGUACGUACGCAAGUAUGAAACUCAAAGGAAUUGACGGGGACCCGCACAAGCAGCGGAGCAUGUGGUUUAAUUCGAAGCAACGCGAAGAACCUUACCAGGGCUUGACAUCCCUCUGACCGGCCAGAUAACGACGGCCUUUCUUCGGACAGAGGUGACAGGUGGUGCAUGGUUGUCGUCAGCUCGUGUCGUGAGAUGUUGGGUUAAGUCCCGCAACGAGCGCAACCCUUGUCUUUAGUUGCCAUCAUUCAGUUGGGCACUCUAGAGAGACUGCCGGGGACAACUCGGAGGAAGGUGGGGAUGACGUCAAAUCAUCAUGCCCCUUAUGUUCUGGGCUACACACGUGCUACAAUGGUCGGUACAAAGAGCAGCGAGACCGCGAGGUGGAGCAAAUCUCAAAAACCGAUCCCAGUUCGGAUUGCAGGCUGCAACUCGCCUGCAUGAAGUCGGAGUUGCUAGUAAUCGUGGAUCAGAAUGCCACGGUGAAUGCGUUCCCGGGUCUUGUACACACCGCCCGU
rnacentral:rRNA from 1 species